rnacentral:rRNA from 1 species
GGGCCUAAAAUGCCAGGUCGAACGAGAGACCUUCGGGUCUCUAGUGGCGAACGGGUGAGUAACACGUAGGGAACCUGCCCGCGCACCGGGAAUACGCUCUGGAAACGGAGAACAAAUCCCGAUGUACAGGAAGGAGGCAUCUUCUUUCUGUGAAACAUCCUUUCGGGGAUGGGGCGCGGAUGGACCUGCGGUGCAUUAGUUUGUUGGCGGGGUAAAGGCCCACCAAGACGAUGAUGCAUAGCCGGCCUGAGAGGGCGGACGGCCACAUUGGGACUGAGACACGGCCCAGACUCCUGCGGGAGGCAGCAGUAGGGAAUUUUCGUCAAUGGGCGCAAGCCUGAACGAGCGAUGCCGCGUGAGUGAAGAAGGCCUUCGGGUCGUAAAGCUCUGUUGCGGGGGAAAAAAGGCAGCAUCAGGAAAUGGGUGCUGACUGAUGGUGCCCCGCCAGAAAGUCACGGCUAACUACGUGCCAGCAGCCGCGGUAAUACGUAGGUGGCGAGCGUUAUCCGGAAUGAUUGGGCGUAAAGGGUGCGCAGGCGGUCCUGCAAGUCUGGAGUGAAACGCAUGAGCUCAACUCAUGCAUGGCUUUGGAAACUGGAGGACUGGAGAGCAGGAGAGGGCGGUGGAACUCCAUGUGUAGCGGUAAAAUGCGUAGAUAUAUGGAAGAACACCAGUGGCGAAGGCGGCCGCCUGGCCUGUUGCUGACGCUGAGGCACGAAAGCGUGGGGAGCAAAUAGGAUUAGAUACCCU